CUAAGUUUAUCGUUUUAAUAUAGCAUUCGGUAUGUUUAAAUAAAUAAAGGAGGGGGUGCAGAUAUUCAUUGUUGGCAAGUUAAAUUAGUGUGACUAAACUGCCCUUUCACAUGAGCCAUCCACCACCUAUGGGUGCACUUGGAUUGGAGUUUGAGGUAAUGCCUUAUAGCUGCUUCUGCCAGCAAGCAAUGAUGUUUUCCAAGAAAGUAUCCACAAACCAAGUUCUGUGCAAGAGACAAAGAAUCAACACAUGGAAUUUUACUAAUGAUUGAUAGAGAAAACCAAGGACAAUAAAGAACCAAGAAAACUUUUUUUCAAACACAAUAAACAUAUAGAUACACCUUGAUACAAGAUAUAUAUAUAUAUAUGAAGGAGAAUAUAUAGCAUAUAGCAUAUGUAUAUAUCUAGGUAGGUCUAAUUUUUCCAAAGAGUAAAUAUCCCCCAAAAAGCUUCAAACUUGCACCAAAAUAUAUUACUAAUAUGAACCAUCAAAUAAAAAAAAGAAGAAAAAUAGAUUGAUCUCUGCCCUUGAGUUGAGUUUAUAUAUAAGCUGACACAGAAACAAAUAAAGAUGCUGAAUACAUAUGUGUCUAAUGCGUAGGCCAACCAAAUCUGGAUAUUGUUUCUAGAGAGAAUUAAGUUUGGAGUUGAGGACAACAAGGUGGAGACAAUAAAAGGCCAAGUAGUGCUUGGUGGUGCAAUCAUAAAGAGACGACUUGGGUAAUGAAGAUAACUUAAAAAUGAGCUUUGAGUAGUCAAGUGGGUAUGAAAGGUUUAGGGUAUUAUAUUUGCAUGUACAGGAGAGGAGAGAAGCUAUACAUUACAUACCCAUCUUGAGAAAUGGCCUAAUAUAGGUAUUGUUGGUGAAUGGAGUGGUAGCAGUAGCAGUAGUGGAGUAUAUAUCAUGUGGAAAGUGGAUGAAAAGAGAAACAAAAGUGAAAGAAGGCAUGCCUUACAUAUUAGAGAAGGGUACAAUUAUCGGUAUUGGUAUGGAGCAUUAUUUGUUUAUAUCAAGUGUAUGUGUUGGAUGUUAUGGGUUUUUAUGUUAUAUAGUAUAAAGAAGGGGAAAAAAAAAAGAAAGAAAGAAAGAAAAGUGGGUGUGGUGUGUAUGGUGGAGGAUUUUGGCAGUGUUUGGAGAGGGAUUAGGAGGCAGAGAACAUGAAUAGGAUUAUGUGUUGGAGAAGUGAUGGUGGGUUUGAUGAUGAUGAUGCACGCCGGCAGCUUUACUCUUCUUUUCUUUCUAUCUCUCUCCUAAGCCCAAUUGGCACGCCUGCUCCCACUAAAACCUAUAACAUUCUCUUUCUCUUUCAAGAAUUGAAAAGCUAAUCCACUAACCAUCUUGACCUAGCUUGUUUUCUUUUCUUUCUUUUUUCUUUUUUAUGUUAAUCAUCUUUUGUCAGAUUUGAUUUCUAUUCUCCAUACUUGACUAUUAUAUGCCAC
rnacentral:lncRNA from 1 species